AGUAACGCGUGAGUAACCUGCCUUACACAAGGGGAUAGCCUCUGGAAACGGAGAAUAAUACCCUAUGAAACUAUCUUAUCGCAUGAAAAGAUAGUCAAAGUGUUUUAGCGGUGUAAGAUGGACUUGCGUCUGAUUAGCUAGUUGGUGAGAUAACAGCCCACCAAGGCAACGAUCAGUAGCCGGCUUGAGAGAGUGUACGGCCACAUUGGGACUGAGACACGGCCCAG
rnacentral:rRNA from 1 species